AGAUUGAACGCUAGCGGGAUGCUUUACACAUGCAAGUCGAACGGCAGCGCGGACUUCGGUCUGGCGGCGAGUGGCGAACGGGUGAGUAAUAUAUCGGAACGUGCCCAGUAGCGGGGGAUAACUACGCGAAAGCGUGGCUAAUACCGCAUACGCCCUACGGGGGAAAGGGGGGAUCGCAAGACCUCUCACUAUUGGAGCGGCCGAUAUCAGAUUAGCUAGUUGGUGAGGUAAAGGCUCACCAAGGCGACGAUCUGUAGCUGGUUUGAGAGGACGACCAGCCACACUGGGACUGAGACACGGCCCAGACUCCUACGGGAGGCAGCAGUGGGGAAUUUGGACAAGUGGGGAAACCUG
rnacentral:rRNA from 1 species